rnacentral:misc_RNA from 1 species
GAUGAAGAACGUAGCGAAAUGCGAUAAGUAAUGUGAAUUGCAGAAUUCAGUGAAUCAUCGAAUCUUUGAACGCACAUUGCGCCCCCUGGUAUUCCGGGGGGCAUGCUUGUUCGAGCGUCAUUUCACCACUCAAGCCUCGCUUGGUAUUGGGCAACGCGGUCCGCCGCGUGCCUCAAAUCGUCCGGCUGGGUCUUCUGUCCCCUAAGCGUUGUGGAAACUAUUCGCUAAAGGGUGUUCGGGAGGCUACGCCGUAAAACAACCCCAUUUCUAAGGUUGACCUCGGAUCAGGUAGGGAUACCCGCUGAACUUAAGCAUAUCAAUAAGCGGAGGA